rnacentral:rRNA from 1 species
AAUAAAUGGGUGACCCAAACCCUCACCAGAGUAGCAAUUGGAGGGCAAGUCUGGUGCCAGCAGCCGCGGUAAUUCCAGCUCCAAUAGCGUAUAUUAAACUUGUUGCAGUUAAAAAGCUCGUAGUUGUAUUUUUGCGUUAGCGGUUUGACCAUUUGGUUGGUUAUUUCGUUUUCGCUUUUGGGAAUUUCCCUUUUUACUUUGAGAAAAUUAGAGUGUUUCAAGCAGACUUUUGUCUUGAAUACUUCAGCAUGGAAUAAUAGAGUAGGACUUUGGUUCUAUUUUGUUGGUUAUUGAACCUUAGUAAUGGUUAAUAGGAACGGUUGGGGGCAUUCGUAUUUAACUGUCAGAGGUGAAAUUCUUAGAG